ACCGGGUUCAGCGCCCGAGCGUGCGAGCGCGUCCCCGCUCGUCGCCCGGCUCGGCGUCGGGAGCGCGCUCUGUGUGGUCGCUGCUGCAGUGUUGUUGUGGCUGUGAGAAGGCGGCGGCGGCGGCGGAGCAGCAGCCGGACCAGACUCCCUAGUAGCUCAGGCGCUGCCCUGCGCCGGCCCUGGCAGGGAGCCUGGGAGGUGAGUGUGCGCCCUUCGCUCCCUGCCGUGUCUGUGAGGGUCCAUCGUUGCCGGAGACUGGAGGUCGGGGGCCAUGGGAGCCCCGGGGCGAACGGUGCGGACAUGGGCCUUGUGGAAAGGAGGAGUGACCGCCUGAGCGUGCAGCAGGACAUCUUCCUGACCUGGUAAUAAUUAGUAAAGCGACUUCCCAAGCAUGGGUGGCAGCUGUUCAAGUCCAUCUGGUCAAGAAUUCACUAAGAUCAUAAUGUGAAAGUUGCUCAAGUGCAGAUUUGCACGACAGCCUGCAAAUGUUCCUUUGGAGACGAAAUGGUUUCUCAGGUCAAUGAUCUGCAUAUUUAAAAGUCUCUAGGACACCCUAAGAUGGCGGCGAGGGAGACGGUGAAGGUUGGCUCCCGCCUGUCUGGGCUCUGAUCCUCUGUCUCCCCCUCCCCCUGCGGCCGGCUCAUGGCCUGGCGGAGGCCCGAACCAAAGACCUCCGCACCGCCGUGUACAACGCCGCCCGUGACGGCAAGGGGGCAGCUGCUCCAGAAGCUGCUCAGCAGCCGGAGCCGGGAGGAACUGGACGAGCUGACUGGCUAGGUGGCCGGCGGGGGGACGCCGCUGCUCAUCGCCGCCUGCUACGGCCACCUGGACGUGGUGGAGUACCUGGUGGACCCGUGCGGCGCGAGCGUGGAGGCCGGUGGCUCGGUGCACUUCGAUGGCGAGACCAUGGAGGGUGCGCCGCCGCUGUGGGCGCGGACCACCUGGACGUGGUACGGAGCCUGCUGCGCCGCGGGGCCUCGGUGAACUGCACCACGCGCACCAACUCCACGCCCCUCCGCGCCGCCUGCUUCGAGGGCCUCCUGGAGGUGGUGCGCUACCUGGUCGGCGAGCACCAGGCCAACCUGGAGGUGGCCAACCGGCACGGCCACAUGUGCCUCAUGAUCUCGUGCUACAAGGGCCACCGUGAGAUCGCCCGCUACCUGCUGGAGCAGGGCGCCCAGGUGAACUGGCGCAGCGCCAAGGGCAACACGGCCCUGCACAACUGUGCCGAGACCAGCAGCCUGGAGAUCCUGCAGCUGCUGCUGGGGUGCAAGGCCAGCAUGGAACGUGAUAGCUACGGCAUGACCCCGUUGCUCCCGGCCAGCGUGACGGGCCACACCAACAUCGUGGAGUACCUCAUCCAGGAGCAGCCCGGCCAGGAGCAGCUCAUAGGGGUAGAGGCUCAGCUUAGGCUGCCCCAAGAAGGCUCCUCCACCAGCCAGGGGUGUGCGCAGCCUCAGGGGGCUCCGUGCUGCAUCUUCUCCCCUGAGGUACUGAACGGGGAAUCUUACCAAAGCUGCUGUCCCACCAGCCGGGAAGCUGCCAUGGAAGCCUUGGAAUUGCUGGGAUCUACCUAUGUGGAUAAGAAACGAGAUCUGCUUGGGGCCCUUAAACACUGGAGGCGGGCCAUGGAGCUGCGUCACCAGGGGGGUGAGUACCUGCCCAAACUGGAGCCCCCACAGCUGGUCCUGGCCUAUGACUAUUCCAGGGAGGUCAACACCACCGAGGAGCUGGAGGCGCUGAUCACCGACGCCGAUGAGAUGCGUAUGCAGGCCUUGUUGAUCCGGGAGCGCAUCCUCAGUCCCUCGCACCCCGACACUUCCUAUUGUAUCCGUUACAGGGGCGCAGUGUACGCCGACUCGGGGAAUAUCGAGUGCUACAUCCGCUUGUGGAAGUACGCCCUGGACAUGCAACAGAGCAACCUGGAGCCUCUGACCCCCAUGAGCGCCAGCAGCUUCCUCUCCUUCGCCGAACUCUUCUCCUACGUGCUGCAGGACCCGGCUGCCAAAGGCAGCCUGGGCACCCAGAUCGGCUUUGCAGACCUCAUGGGGGUCCUCACCAAAGGGGUCCGGGAAGUGGAAUGGGCCCUGCAGCUGCUCAGGGAGCCUAGAGACUCGGCCCAGUUCAACAAGGCGCUGGCCAUCAUCCUCCACCUGCUCUACCUGCUGGAGAAAGUGGAGUGCACCCCCAGCCAGGAGCAACUGAAGCACCAGACCAUCUAUCGCCUGCUCAAGUGCGCACCCAGGGGCAAGAACGGCUUCACGCCUCUGCACAUGGCUGUGGACAAGGACACCACAAACGUGGGCCGCUACCCCGUGGGCAGAUUCCCCUCGUUGCACGUGGUCAAAGUGCUGUUCGACUGCGGGGCCGACCGGGACAGCAGGGAUUUUGACAACAACACCCCGCUACACAUAGCAGCCCAGAACAACUGCCCGGCCAUCGUGAAUGCCCUGACUGAAGCAGGGGCCCACAUGGACGCCACCAACGCCUUCAAGAAGACGGCCUACGAGCUGCUGGAAGAGAAGCUGCUGGCCAGGGGUACCAUGCAGCCCUUCAACUACGUGACGCUGCAGUGCCUUGCAGCCCAGGCCCUGGAUAAGAACAAGAUCCCUUACAAGGGCUUCAUCCCGGAAGAUCUGGAGGCAUUCAUCGAACUGCACUGACCUGCCCAGAACAUCUGCACCCUCACCUCUCCCCUCUCCUGCUGAGACGGGGGAAAUCAGGCUGGGGUAUAGCAGAUGCUCGUUCUUGCCUCCUUCAGGCACCAAUCAGGAGAAGGGUUCUGCCUCCCAUCCCCUUUACCUGAAGACAGGGUCUGAGGUGUUAGCGAGCCUUUGGUGCUAGAAGCCUUCAGGGUCACAUGCCAAGAGGACAGUCUUUCUCCGGGAAGCCCACUGACUCAGAAAUUCUGAGUUAGGAAAAGACACAAGACCUUCCCCACAUCCUGUCUGCCUGGGUUACGGAGGCCUUUGCCUUGUUACCUAGAGGUGGAGGGACUGAAGCCAUUGCGUUCCUUCCUUGCUAGAAACACAGGAAGAAGUUGAGGACGGUCUGCCUUCCCUUGUCCUUUUACAUGGCCAGGUAACUCCAGCUGCUGAAUACAGUGUUAGGACUGGGGGCUCCCGAGAUGAGAGUUUGAAAGUCAGGGAAUGAAACCACCUCUCAUUUCUUCCAGCAUGAUCACGACCUGCUCCUGUGCCACCAUAGUCCCUGGCAGACAGGCAGGGCUCUGCUCAGGGCAGCCUGCCACUUGCAUAGCUUUUGGUUAGUUUGGUGUUCUGUUUAUUUAAUAAGUGGGCAGGUUGCAAGCAUUGCACAGGAAUUCUGAGAUUUUACUGCCUUUUUUUUUUUUUUAAAGAAAGUUGUUUGUUGGACUCCGUAAGUGAAUUUCAAGCAGUGAGGAUUCUGUAGUGCCUGAGAUGGCUGAGGCCACAGGGAGUGAGCUGUAUGUGUGAGGAAGUUGGUGAGCGAGAUAAAAGUCCAUGGUUUCGACCCCUAAAACAUGUGUGACUGUACAUUUUUAUACAUCUCCACUCUACGGCCUUUUACAGGCUUUCCAAUUUUACAGGCCUUUCCAAUUUUCCAUUCUCAUUAGAAAGAGAACUGUGCUUCCAAACAGAAAUCAGGAGUGACCACAAAGCCUGACAACACUUUGCCACCCAGCAAGAACUGGCACAAUUGGUUUGGGUCUGCAUUGCCAUAGUGUCCGAGUUAAAACUACAGGCCACUCCACCUUGCAAACCUCACGUGGCCUCUGAUUUCAUUGUGGGUGCAUCCACAGGUGGCGCUAGCUCUUUUUUCAGCUGCUCCGAGGAUUGGGACCUAAGUCAUCAUGAAAAAGGCCCAGGUACAGUCUUAAUGUGAUAAAUCCACUAGCUAAGACGUUGAGUGCCAAGACUAGCCUUCCAGCCAAGGUUUGGACAAAGUCUCAAGUUCCCAUGACUCAGGGUAAGGUGCUGGGGCUGCCAGAGGACCUGCCCCAGCAAGAUUUUUCUCAAGAGUGAGACUCCAUCAGCCCGGGCAGACGUGAGCAGGUUCUUGGCUGGUGUAGACAGCAGCAAACAGCAGAAGGGAAGCCAUUCUCACUACAUCCUCCCUGCAGUAGCCACAGCCAGGCCCUUAGGAGGAGCAGCAACCGGGGGUGUCCAGAAACAUCCCGUCCCUGGAUGGAAACUAGGUCUCGUUUGGAUUUUUUUUUCUUUUUUUUGCCAUGUUAUGAAAUUAUUUAUUAAUUUACAAGACAGGUUUUAUCUCAGCCAAGGAGGGAAAUGGCGUCCCUGUCCCUCCCAAAGCACAGAGCAGAGAAAUGAGGCUGUUUACAUCGCGAGUCUCCGUGCUGGUGUUUAAGUCAUUAAAAAGAUAUUCAAAAAAAAAGUCUCUAAAUACAGGUUUAUGGAAUAAUUCAUAACAGCUUUAAGGAACUAUCAUGGUAUACUGGGAAAGUCACUCAUAUUGCAGGAUAGAUUUCUUCUGUUGGCUGGUGAGCAUUUGUUUAUAGUCGGCCUUGAAUCUACCACAAUUUUAGAAGUAGUUCUUUUAUUUCUUUAAAAGCAACAUUUUGGGACAAAAUAUUGUGAACAAAUAAGGAAUACGACUAUAUUUGUGAAACCCCUUGUUAAUUUCCAAGUGAUAUUUUAAAUCUUGAAUAAGACAUGUAUGCUCAUAAAUAAAGAGGAAAAAGAAAUAAUUAAAUCAAUGUUCAUAAGAGCUUCUCAGAAAAUAAGAAAGAGAUAAGUGAUAGAACUAUAAUCUACAAUCUACCCUAACAGUAUAUUUGCAUCACUUCUUAAACUUUGUUUAGUAUUUUAACACGCUGUUUCUUAUUAUAUGGGAAGAAUGCUGUGAGGUAGCAUGUUAAUGUUUUGCAG
rnacentral:lncRNA from 1 species